UAGACAGUCCCAGCUCCGCAUAGCAAUGUUUGAUGUGUCUGUGCGGCGUUUCAUGGCUGUAACAUAAAUGUUAUUGCACAUAUUAUAUCGCUGUUGAUGAGACACCCUGCAUGCCUUAUUGAUGAAAACGUAUGCGCCACAA
rnacentral:snoRNA from 1 species